GCAAUCAGCGAGACUCCGUGGGCGUAGGACCCUCCAAGCCAGGUGUGAGAUAUAGUCUCCUGGUGCGCCGUUUUUUAAGUCCGUCGGAAAAGCGCAGUAUUCUGGUGGGAGUGACCCGAUUUUCCAGGUGCCAUCAGUCACCCCUUUCUUUGACUCGGAAAGGGAACUCCCUGACCCCUCGCGCUUCCCAGGUGAGGCAAUGCCUCGCCCUGCUUCGGCUCGCGCACGGUGCGCGCACCCACUGACCUGCGCCCACUGUCUGGCACUCCCUAGUGAGAUAAACCCGGUACCUCAGAUGGAAAUGCGGAAAUCACCCGUCUUCUGCGUCGCUCACGCUGGGAGCUGUAGACCGGAGCUGUUCCUAUUCGGCCAUCUUGGCUCCUCCACCAGAAAUGAUGUAGCUUCUAUCAGGAAUCUGGUAGCAAUGCAAAGCUAAGGCACUGUGCUAAGUUGGACUUACAGAGAUGAAUAAGAUUUGGCCACAUCUUCAAGGAGCUCAGACCUUCAUGGACAUACCAAAUAUAUACAGAACUAACUCUACUGCUUAUCAUAAUGAGAGCUGUGCUAUGGAUAUUUGAAAGUUAGAGAGAUUUAUUUUCAACAGAAUAAUAAAGUCAACUUUCACAAA
rnacentral:lncRNA from 1 species